UACGUAGGGCGCAAGCGUUGUCCGGAAUUAUUGGGCGUAAAGAGCUCGUAGGCGGUCUGUCACGUCGGCUGUGAAAACCCGGGGCUCAACCCCGGACCUGCAGUCGAUACGGGCAGACUGGAGUCCGGCGGGGGAGACUGGAAUUCCCGGUGUAGCGGUGAAAUGCGCAGAUAUCGGGAGGAACACCGGUGGCGAAGGCGGGUCUCUGGGCCGGUACUGACGCUGAGGAGCGAAAGCGUGGGGAGCGAACAGG
rnacentral:rRNA from 1 species